CCAGCCGUAAACGAUGAGUGCUAGGUGUGAGGGGUAUCGACCCCCCUCGUGCCGGAGUUAACGCAAUAAGCACUCCGCCUGGGGAGUACGGCCGCAAGGCUGAAACUCAAAGGAAUUGACGGGGGCCCGCACAAGCAGCGGAGCAUGUGGUUUAAUUCGAAGCAACGCGUAGAACCUUACCAGGGCUUGACAUCCACCGAACCCUUUGGCGACAGAGGGGUGCUCUUCGGAGAGCGGUGAGACAGGUGG
rnacentral:rRNA from 1 species